rnacentral:rRNA from 1 species
UACGUAGGGGGCGAGCGUUAUCCGGAAUUACUGGGUGUGAAGGGAGCGUAGACGGCGAAGUAAGCCUGAAGUGGAAGCCCGCGGCCCAACCGCGGAACUGCUUUGGGAACUGCUUAGCUGGAGUAUGGGAGGGGUAAGCGGAAUUCCUGGUGUAGCGGUGAAAUGCGUAGAUAUCAGGAGGAACACCGGUGGCGAAGGCGGCUUACUGGACCAUGACUGACGUUGAGGCUCGAAAGCGUGGGGAGCGAACAGG